UGCCCUUUGUUACUUCCCACCUCUGCCUACAGCAUCUCUACCGCCGGCGCAGACGUAUAGCCUAUCUCCGACUGAGAGAACCACGUUUAGAUUCAGUGAAAAUAGAUGUCGGUUUGUUUUUCUUGAGCUCGUUGGUCGCAAAUUCCUGGAGGGUGAUUGCCAGAAUGAACAUGAGGGGAACUUACAAAGAAGUGGAAAACGCUGAGGGAUAAAUAUGGGGGAAAAUUUGGGGAACAAAACUGGCCACAAGAAAGAAUGAGCAGGAAAAAAAAGUCCCCAUAUUUAAUGUGUUUCUAUCGUGGCUGAACCCGGAUAAAACCAAAAGUGAAGACAACAUUUUUUGGCUGCUUACGCCCAGCCCUCUGCUAGCCCGUCAGCCCUUCAGAGUCACCACCCCCAUCUAAAAACGCAGCUUCGUACACAGCUGGGAACUGGAAGAAAGUUAUCCUGAGGAGAGGACCGCUCGGGUUUGAGUUAAAGAGUUGGGGUAGACUCAGAGGACUGUUCUCUGACAACAACACAAAAGCACAGCUCAAUACAGAGCUGAAGAGAGAAGGAGUCACACCAAGCACUCACUGA
rnacentral:lncRNA from 1 species